rnacentral:rRNA from 1 species
GACGAACGCUGGCGGCGUGCUUAACACAUGCAAGUCGAACGGAAAGGCCCUGCUUUUGUGGGGUGCUCGAGUGGCGAACGGGUGAGUAACACGUGAGUAACCUGCCCUUGACUUUGGGAUAACUUCAGGAAACUGGGGCUAAUACCGGAUAGGAGCUCCUGCUGCAUGGUGGGGGUUGGAAAGUUUCGGCGGUUGGGGAUGGACUCGCGGCUUAUCAGCUUGUUGGUGGGGUAGUGGCUUACCAAGGCUUUGACGGGUAGCCGGCCUGAGAGGGUGACCGGCGAAAUGGGGACUGAGAUACGGCCCAGACUCCUACGGGAGGCAGCAGUGGGGAAUAUUGCACAAUGGGCGGAAGCCUGAUGCAGCAACGCCGCGUGCGGGAUGACGGCCUUCGGGUUGUAAACCGCUUUCGCCUGUGACGAAGCGUGAGUGACGGUAAUGGGUAAAGAAGCACCGGCUAACUACGUG